rnacentral:lncRNA from 10 species
GUUAUGUUAGUUCUUUUGCUGUUUCACUGUUACAGGUUGAACUUUAAGGUUGCACCAGGAAACCAAGUGUUUGGAGAAAAGCUGUGCCAAGAUUUAAGAGAGAAUAUGUGAACCAAACACAGCAAGAAAUCAAUGACAAACUUAAACAACUUGAUAAUUUCUCUAAAGAAAGGCUGAGAUAUAAACUUGGCUUUGUUACCUACAGUACCUAUAUUUGGAAGAGUGAAGUUUGAAGACAAAGACAGUAGUUUUGUGGGUUUAAGAAUAAAAGACUGAGAAUAUUUAAACAGUAAAAACAGCAGUUAACCUUAAAGAGGCUCUUCACGAAUAACUUGCCUCAAGAAAAGGAUCUAGGCCACUGGAAAUAAGUACACUGGAAAAAUACAAUUAUAUGCAAUUGAAAUAACAUAGUGUGACUGAGCUGAAUGAAGGUGGCUUACACCAUUUAUGUGGCACUUUAAGACUCAAACCAGAGGCAAAAGUUGAAAGGCCAUUUAUUCAAUUCACAACCAAAUUAAAACUCCUGAAGACUCCACUACCGCAAUCCUUUAUUUUGAAAGCAGUAUUAUCUAGAGCUUUUGCGACACAGACCCAGAGAACAGAGACCAUUAAUCUUCAACACAAUGUAUCUGAAGUUUUCUUGCCCUCUGCCAAGACCUCUUACAAGACCAAGAGCCACGCCUACUUGGAAAAACACACACUGAAACAUAGAGAUUUACACCAUACACAAAUGAUACGCUAUAUUGUCAAAAUUGUAUGCUAAAACUAAGUUUUAGUUAAUUUUAGGAUGACAGUGAAAGGUAAUAUUCUGGGAUACUCGAACACAUUAUAAAAGUAACAAAAACA